rnacentral:rRNA from 1 species
UACGGGGGGGGCAAGCGUUGUUCGGAAUUAUUGGGCGUAAAGGGCUCGUAGGCGGUUUGUCGCGUCGGGAGUGAAAUCCACUGGCUUAACUGGUGGCUUGCUUUCGAUACGGGCAGACUGGAGGUAUGCAGGGGAGAACGGAAUUCCUGGUGUAGCGGUGAAAUGCGCAGAUAUCAGGAGGAACACCGGUGGCGAAGGCGGUUCUCUGGGCAGUAACUGACGCUGAGAAGCGAAAGCGUGGGGAGCGAACAGG